rnacentral:ncRNA from 1 species
AUAAUCGGCUAGACUUUAUAAACUUAUACUCUAAUUAAUGUUAAUUUAGAGUUAUUUUGAUAUUGAUUUUUAAUUUUAGGGUGAAAUCAGAAAUUAUUUUUAUUUAAACUCUAAAUUUUAAGAUUUAGUAAACAAACCAGAUUAGUACCUGGUUAGAUAAAAUUUAAAAGAGCAGGAGUAAAGUUAUAUUUAAACUGUAAGAAUAUUGGCAGGUUUUUAAAUUAUCUUUGGAGGCUGAGUAGUGAUUGAGAGCCCUCAUUUUCAACUUUUUCUUUAGGCGCAUGUAUGAUCGUUUAUUUUAUUCUUAAGGAUUGUAAUUUUAGUCUUUGCUAUAAAAAUAGAUAGAUAUCUGGCUUAUGAGAAAGAUUUAAUUUGGCCUACAAUAAUUUAAUUUUUGGAUUCUAGUUUUAGAGGCUAGAUGAAAUUGUAAAAGACAGUAAGUUGCUUUUAAUGGGUGGCUGAAGUUUAUUUAAAAACGGUACAAAUCAUCCAUCAAUUGCCUAUAGGGGAGUAAGUUGU